rnacentral:rRNA from 1 species
ACCGGCGCACGGGUGAGUAACGCGUUUGCAAUCUACCUCUAACUGGGGAAUAGCCCGGAGAAAUUCGGAUUAAUACCCCAUAAUGUUAUAGAAAGGCAUCUUUUUAUAAUUAAAGCUCCGGCGGUUAGAGAUGAGCAUGCGUGUCAUUAGCUUGUUGGUGAGGUAACAGCUCACCAAGGCAACGAUGACUAGGGGGUCUGAGAGGAUGAUCCCCCACACUGGUACUGAGACACGGACCAGACUCCUACGGGAGGCAGCAGUGAGGAAUAUUGGGCAAUGGACGCAAGUCUGACCCAGCCAUGCCGCGUGCAGGAUGACUGCCCUAUGGGUUGUAAACUGCUUUUUUACGGGAAGAACUGUUCCUACGUGUAGGGAUUUGACGGUACCGUAAGAAUAAGCAUCGGCUAACUCCGUGCCAGCAGCCGCGGUAAUACGGAGGAUGCAAGCGUUAUCCGGAUUCAUUGGGUUUAAAGGGUGCGUAGGCGGAAUAUUAAGUCAGCGGUGAAAUCCUGCAGCUCAACUGUAGAACUGCCAUUGAUACUGGUAUUCUUGAAUGUAGUUGAGGUGGGCGGAAUGUGUAAUGUAGCGGUGAAAUGCUUAGAUAUUACACAGAACACCGAUUGCGAAGGCAGCUCACUAAACUAUGAUUGACGCUGAGGCACGAAAGCGUGGGGAGCAAACAGGAUUAGAUACCCUGGUAGUCCACGCUGUAAACGAUGAUCACUCGCUGUUGGCGAUACACUGUCAGCGGCUGAGCGAAAGCAUUAA